AUUAUUGAUGGAUCUGUUUCCAAUUUUAGCGUCAUGCAGUUCAAAUUUGUUGACUUAGCCAGAGGCUGAAGUACAAGAGUGCAACGCUGAAGGUUCACUACGUCUUCAUGAAAAGGUUUCUGCUAAGAUCGUGCCUAACAUCUACUCAGUGAUGCCUAACAGUGGGGAAAGAUUUUGUAUUGUUGACCACAUGUUAGUGGUUUGUUUGUGGAUUG